rnacentral:rRNA from 1 species
GCACAAGCGGUGGAGCAUGUGGUUUAAUUCGACGCAACGCGAAGAACCUUACCUGGGCUUGACAUCUGCGGAAUUUCUAUGAAAGUAGGAAGUGCCUUCGGGAGCCGCAAGACAGGUGCUGCAUGGCUGUCGUCAGCUCGUGUCGUGAGAUGUUGGGUUAAGUCCCGCAACGAGCGCAACCCUUAUCUUUAGUUACCAUCAUUCAGUUGGGGACUCUAAAGAUACUGCCCCGGUCAACGGGGAGGAAGGUGGGGAUGACGUCAAAUCAUCAUGCCCCUUAUGACCUGGGCUACACACGUGCUACAAUGGUUGGUACAACGAGUUGCGAGUCGGUGACGGCGAGCUAAUCUCUUAAAGCCAAUCUCAGUUCGGAUUGUAGGCUGCAACUCGCCUACAUGAAGUCGGAAUCGCUAGUAAUCGCGGAUCAGCACGCCGCGGUGAAUACGUUCCCGGGCCUU